GUUCAAACCUGUAUAUUUUAGUUUGAUUGCAUAGGACUUAUUUGAAAAAGCUGUAAAUUUUGUUUCCGGUGCCUAGAACCAGUACUUAGUGUCUAUAGGGAAGAUCUAAAGAACGCUUUCACAGUGGGGAUCGAACCCGUGACCUCCUGGUUGCUAGGCGGACACCAUAUCCUUUACGCCACAGCUACCUCAGGGUUUGGGGUAACGACACCAAACGCAAAGCCUAUCCCAAGGCAAUGCCCCAUUUGCGUGGUAAAAGGCAACACGACUGUGUACCUCCGGGUAACAGACCACGUUCGCUGGGUGCAAGCGCUGACGGCAGACCCCAUGAAGCCGUUGAUGUCAGAGGCACGUGCUAAGACCGGUCGGAAAGUGAAGAAGACAAAGCCGAGGAAUUACUACUCUUGCUGGCUGUGCGACCGGUCGGUGAUUGACCGGCUGCGUCAUCUAGAACAGGAGCACAAAAUGGAGGCUGGGACAUUCAAUUUUGUUUACACAAGAGGGCCGUUUCCGGAAAGAAAGGUGACCAGCAGACUCGCCACUCAUGAUGACUCGGCAUAGGAGGAUGAGAAGGUGGAGGAUGAGGAGGAGGAGGAAGAGGACUUUUCAUUCCUAAUGCCGAAAUACUGCCUGAGCCUGGAACCCAAUGCAAGGGUGAUGCAUGGUCGGAGAAGCUGCAAUUUCAAUCGUUGACUCAUAUGUAGACUACAUGUUCCUGCGGAGCAGGCCAGGUGGGUUGGCAAACGAGUCGAAAACACAAGAGGUCAACAUGAAGAUCAACCGGUUCCUGGCCCUGUCUGGCUACUUGGAAGGAGUGGUGUUGAGUGACAUGCUGUUGUGGAUGGGCCAUAUGGAGGUCCACGACAGUUCCUCAACACCACUCACCAGCUGAAGACGGUGCGGAAUGCACUAACGGCAAUCAAGAACUUCCUGAAGUGGUGCGAGGGAAUGGUCUAGCGGACGCCCGCACAUUGAACAAUGCUUCCUGACCUCAACCUGCCUGGAUAAGAGCCGUCGCGAGGUUGUUCGGAGGGUAGAGGAGAGUGCGGCCAUCCUGACGGACGCAAACCUGGAGCGCCACUUCACUGAGAGUGAGCAUGUAGUGAAAACGAUCAAGGUGAUCCAGGAGCCCCCAGCUGGCACACCUGAAAGAUAUUCGGGGAAUAAUCAUUUAACUGAUAGCGCUCUAUAACGCCUCCUGAACUGGCAAGUGUACCUAGAGAUUGAGCUGGAGACAGUGAAGGUGCUGACCUCUGUGUGGAACACUUAGAAGCUGGCAAGUUUUCAUAUUGAAGGGUAUGGUUCCCAACCGCCCAUCACACACAGAAUGAAGCUUGUCGUCUUCCGCAGUAAAAACUGGGUGCUGGAAGAUGCUUACUGCUAUAUUGACUGCUUCCGAGCGCUUCCUGGACCUAAAAAUUAUCUCCCAGCAGCAACCUCCCCAAGGUGUGACGAGAGUCUUCAAGUGUUCCAGACGGCUGGUGAUGCAUUUCAAGAAAAGCCAUCAGAAUCUUGCAAUGAUCUGUAUACUUAAUAAAUGACAAAACAACAA